rnacentral:tRNA from 1 species
GAGGGUAUAGCUCAGUGGUAGAGCACAUGCUCAGCAUGCAUGAAGUCCUGGGUUCAAUCCCCAGGAUCCCCU